rnacentral:lncRNA from 1 species
GGAUGGCGGUGGCGGUGCAGUACCCGGCGAUGGCGGCGGCGGUGCUGUAGCCGGCGAUGGCGCUGGUCAAGGUGCUGUACCCGGGGACGGCGCUGGUCAAGGUGCUGUGCAGGAUGGCGCUGGGCAUGUCAGCGAGAAGAAAUGCAAGUAGCAAGUAAGCUCAUCAUCUGAACGCAUGAUUUGUUGGAUGAUUUGUGGAUGUUGCGUGUAUUCUCCAUGAAUCAAUAAUCGAGUCUUGGUUUAUGCAAUAAAGUGGUGAUUUAUCUUUUGUCUAAAGCUAUUUGAGUGCCCACUGCACAAUUUAGUGGGG